rnacentral:rRNA from 1 species
CCUACGGGAGGCAGCAGUGAGGAAUAUUGGACAAUGGUCGGAAGACUGAUCCAGCCAUGCCGCGUGAAGGUUACAGUCCUAUGGAUUUUAAACUUCUUUUGUAUGGAAGCAAUAAGGUGUACGUGUACACCGAUGAGAGUCCCAUACGAAUAAGCAUCGGCUAACUCCGUGCCAGCAGCCGCGGUAAUACGGAGGAUGCAAGCGUUAUCCGGAUUUAUUGGGUUUAAAGGGUGCGUAGGCGGAUAUGUAAGUCAGCGGUGAAACUCACAGGCUCAACCUGUGCCGUGCCGUUGAAACUGUGUAUCUGGAAUGCGGAUGCUGUGGGAGGAAUGUGUAGUGUAGCGGUGAAAUGCAUAGAUAUUACACAGAACACCGAUUGCGAAGGCAUCUCACAAAGCCGUUAUUGACGCUGAGGCACGAAAGUGUGGGGAUCAAACAGGCUUAGAUACCCCUGUAGUC